rnacentral:lncRNA from 1 species
AUAAACAUCAAUAACUGCAGCUUCCUUUCUGGCUUCAUUGGAGACAAAUACCUGCUCAGUAGCUACUAAAGCUCGACUCAACGAAAAUGGAGAAGUCACACUAAAACAACACAUUCAUCGGAAAAGGAUGACAUGGUUUUUGGGAUUUGGUUAGCAAUAAAGAGGAGUGAUGUCAAGUACAAGACAGCCUAGAUAGGUUAUUAUUUUACGCGGUAUGAACAAAGUCCCCUGUCCCAUUGUUAGUUGGGAAACCUUUUCUUGUCCACAUGAACAUACAUAGGUUGGUUUUUGAUGGAUGAGGACUUGGCUGGCAGCUCAUGACCACUUCACAUUUCUGUUAGGUGACUCUUCUUGCAUUAUAUACAUCCAAUCUAAUCCAACCCUAUGUUCACAAAUAUCAUUCCCUGAGGAAGCACACAGCCACUCCACAAGGAUGGAGCCAUGUCUGUGUUGGAGCCGGACACAACCCAGUCAUCAUUUGUUUGAAUAU